GCCUGGGUGGCUCAGUCGGUUGAGCGUCCGACUUCGGCUCGGGUCACGAUCUCACGGUCCGUGAGUUUGAGCCCCGCGUCGGGCU
rnacentral:tRNA from 1 species